rnacentral:tRNA from 1 species
AGAGAUGUGUCUCAGUGGUAGAGUGCUUGUCUAGCAAUCACAAGGCCCUGGGUUCAAGUUCCAGUACUGCUA